GAGCGUCCUUGGGCGCGAUGGAGCUCUACCGCCUCAGCGUAUCGAAGUGAUUCGACAGUGCGGAGAGAUCAGUUGUAGAGCAGCUGAUCUGCGGCUUCGGUGCAGGGUCCUUGCCCGCCUACCAUCGCGGGACACGCUGCAAGUACGUCCCUGUAGGGAGUUUUGGUUGUCUGGACGUGACUGGAGAGUGCGGAUAAAUCAGGUGUAGAGCGGCUGAUCUGCAGCUUUGCUGCAGGGCAUGACGUGCUUCUAAUUGGCCAGCUAUCGUGUUCUGCGAACCAUGCCAGCAAGCCUGCGCAACGUGCGAGACCACCAGCUUUCUAUCCGGCUACCGACCAACGUCCUGGUGCGGUGCCCUUACCGCUUGCGGGACCGUGUGGCGGCAUGGA
rnacentral:sRNA from 1 species